UAGGGAAUUUUGCGCAAUGGACGAAAGUCUGACGCAGCAAUACCGUGUGAGGGAUGAAGCAUUUCGGUGUGUAAACCUCUGUCGAUGACGAAUAAAGGUUCAGAGAGUGGAAAGCUCUGGAUUUGAAGGUAGUCAUGAAGGAAGCACCGGCUAACUCUGUGCCAGCAGCCGCGGUAAUACAGGGGGUGCAAGCGUUGUUCGGAAUCACUGGGCGUAAAGGGAGCGUAGGCGGGAUUGCAAGACAGGGGUUAAAUCUCCGGGCUCAACCUGGAACUUGCCUUUGUGACUGCCGUCCUUGAGUAUGGUAGAGGUCCGUGGAAUUUCCGGUGUAGCGGUGGAAUGCGUAGAGAUCGGAAAGAACACCAGAGGCGAAGGCGACGGACUGGGCCAAUACUGACGC
rnacentral:rRNA from 1 species